GAUGAACGCUGGCGGCGUGCCUAAUACAUGCAAGUCGAGCGAACAGAUGAGGAGCUUGCUCCUCUGACGUUAGCGGCGGACGGGUGAGUAACACGUGGAUAACCUACCUAUAAGACUGGGAUAACUUCGGGAAACCGGAGCUAAUACCGGAUAAUAUAUUGAACCGCAUGGUUCAAUAGUGAAAGACGGUUUUGCUGUCAAUUAUAGAUGGAUCCGCGCCGCAUUAGCUAGUUGGUAAGGUAACGGCUUACCAAGGCAACGAUGCGAAGCCGACCUGAGAGGGUGGUCGGCCACACGGGAACUGAGACACGGCCCAGACUCCUACGGGAGGCAGCAGUAGGGAAUCUUCCGCAAGGGGCGAGAGCCUGACGGAGCAACGCCGCGUGAGUGAUGAAGGUCUUCGGAUCGUAAAACUCUGUUAUUAGGGAAGAACAAAUGUGUAAGUAACCAUGAACGUCUUGACGGUACCUAAUCAGAAAGCCACGGCUAACUACGUG
rnacentral:rRNA from 1 species